rnacentral:rRNA from 1 species
GAUGAACGCUGGUGGCGUGCCUAACACAUGCAAGUCGAGCGAUUCUCUUCGGAGAAGAGCGGCGGACGGGUGAGUAACGCGUGGGUAACCUGCCCUGUACACACGGAUAACAUACCGAAAGGUAUGCUAAUACGAGAUAACAUGCUUUUAUCGCAUGGUAGAAGUAUCAAAGCUUUUGCGGUACAGGAUGGACCCGCGUCUGAUUAGCUAGUUGGUGAGGUAACGGCUCACCAAGGCGACGAUCAGUAGCCGACCUGAGAGGGUGAUCGGCCACAUUGGAACUGAGACACGGUCCAAACUCCUACGGGAGGCAGCAGUGGGGAAUAUUGCACAAUGGGCGAAAGCCUGAUGCAGCAACGCCGCGUGAGCGAUGAAGGCCUUCGGGUCGUAAAGCUCUGUCCUCAAGGAAGAAAUGACGGUACUUGAGGAGGAAGCCCCGGCUAACUACGUG